UACGGAGGGUGCAAGCGUUAAUCGGAAUUACUGGGCGUAAAGCGCGCGUAGGCGGUUUUUUAAGUCGGAUGUGAAAGCCCCGGGCUCAACCUGGGAACUGCAUCCGAUACUGGAAGACUAGAAUGCGGGAGAGGGAGGUAGAAUUCCAUGUGUAGCAGUGAAAUGCGUAGAUAUAUGGAGGAAUACCAGUGGCGAAGGCGGCCUCCUGGAUCGACAUUGACGCUGAGGUGCGAAAGCGUGGGGAGCAAACGGG
rnacentral:rRNA from 1 species